ACAGCUCAUGGUUAGAGCUUAGAGCUGAGGCCAUUGGCUGGCCACAAGAUGGGCAAGUCUUUUGCUAACACCACAAGGGUCUUUGGCUCAAUGAGUGGAGUUUGAUAGUAAUUUUUACUACAGUU
rnacentral:snoRNA from 1 species